rnacentral:misc_RNA from 1 species
UUUCCGUAGGUGAACCUGCGGAAGGAUCAUUAAUGAGUUGUCAUGGGGUUCGAUGCUGGCAGCCAAUUUUUGGAUGCAUGUGCUUGCCCUAACAAUCAUCUUCCAAACGCCUGUGCACAUUUUUGAGGGAGUCUUGAGUUGGUUGCCGCUCUUGGGUGAUUUUCUCACAUUCCCUUAAAUCAUUAUACGCUAUUAACAAUGUUGAACGUGCUCUGUGCCGCAAGGCUAUUAAUAUAAUACAACUUUUAACAACGGAUCUCUUGGCUCUC